CGAGGGCUCCAAGCGUUAUCCGGAUUUAUUGGGCGUAAAGGGUCUUCAGGUGGUUUGGUUAGUCGGGCGUUAAAUUCCGCCGCUUAACGGCGGAGCUGCGUUCGAAACGGCCAAACUCGAGGGAUGGAGAGGGAGUAGGAACUCACGGUGUAGGGGUGAAAUCCGUUGAUAUCGUGGGGAACACCAAAGGCGAAGGCAAACUCCUGGCCAUUUCCUGACACUCAUAAGACGAAAGCGUGGGGAGCGAACAGGAUUAGAUGCCCUGGUAGUCCACGCCCUAAACGAUGCACACUCGCUGUUCCGAGUAUCGACCCUCGGAGUGGCUUAGCUAACGCGUUAAGUGUGCCGCCUGGGAAGUACGGCCGCAAGGCUA
rnacentral:rRNA from 1 species